rnacentral:lncRNA from 1 species
CAGUAUACCUAGGGAGGUAUCUGGAAGUUAAAGAAACUCAGAGCAGAAAGGCCUAAAGCAGAACUGAUGAAUAUGAUGCAUUGCGGUGAUUUUCUGACAAGUUAAGAUACAUUUUCUGUCACUCCUGGCUCCAAGGAGAGACUGUCUGGAAGCUUUGGCAUGACUCCCUGCCCUACAGCAACGGACCCUGCAGUCGUGAAGACCUUGGAUUUGGAGAAAUCUUCUUGCAUUUUCUACUGGCUUCCCUCUGCAACUCAGCUACUUGUUGUAACUCCUAUUCCUGCAUGCUUGAUCCUCUGCUCCCUGUAAAGGCAGUUUGGUGAAGUCCAGUCCCAGAACCAGGCUCCUAAGAAGGCUGGCUGUGGCACUGCUGGGAAUUGCCACAUGGAUCUCAGACCAGGCUUUUGUGUGGAAACAAGGUAAGUCACCCUGAAAUUCCUGACUUCAUAAAGGUUUGUCUCUCUCAUCAUACAGGCUCAGCAAUUUAGUUUGAAAAAUCCUGGAAACUGAAAGAUUAUAU